rnacentral:rRNA from 1 species
GACGAACGCUGGCGGCGUGCCUAAUACAUGCAAGUCGAGCGCAGGAAGCCGUCUGAACCCUUCGGGGGGACGACGGUGGAAUGAGCGGCGGACGGGUGAGUAACACGUAAAGAACCUGCCCAUAGGUCUGGGAUAACCACGAGAAAUCGGGGCUAAUACCGGAUGUGUCAUCGGACCGCAUGGUCCGCUGCUGAAAGGCGCUUCGGCGUCGCCAAGGGAUGGCUUUGCGGUGCAUUAGCUAGUUGGUGGGGUAACGGCCCACCAAGGCGACGAUGCAUAGCCGACCUGAGAGGGUGAUCGGCCACACUGGGACUGAGACACGGCCCAGACUCCUACGGGAGGCAGCAGUAGGGAAUCUUCCACAAUGGACGAAAGUCUGAUGGAGCAACGCCGCGUGAACGAUGAAGGCUUUCGGGUCGUAAAGUUCUGUUGUAAGGGAAGAACAAGUGCCGCAGGCAAUGGCGGCACCUUGACGGUACCUUGCGAGAAAGCCACGGCUAACUACGUGCCAGCCGCCGCAGUAAAAC